rnacentral:rRNA from 1 species
GACAGAGGGUGCAAACGUUGUUCGGAAUUACUGGGCGUAAAGCGCGUGUAGGCGGCUAAGUAAGUCGGGCGUGAAAUCCCACGGCUCAACCGUGGAAGUGCACUCGAAACUGCAUAGCUAGAGUCCUGGAGAGGAAGGUGGAAUGCUUGGUGUAGAGGUGAAAUUCGUAGAUAUCAAAGCGGAACACCGGUGGCGAAGGCGGCCUUCUGGACAGUGACUGACGCUGAGACGCGAAAGCGUGGGGAGCAAACAGG